AUCAUCUUCUUCUCACUUCCAUCUUCUUCAUCUUCUUCUUCUUUUUCUUCUUAAUACAAUUUCAUGGUAUAAGAGCAAAGCUAGUAAUCUCUAGCCUGUGGUUCGAUCUUAAUCCUACGGAAUCGACUUCCCAAUUACUGUUAGUGUUCUUGAAAUCUUGGUCGAGAAUGGCGAUCAACGAUCUGCUGAAUCAUAAAACUGAGCAUCAUACUUAAGCACCGUCUCCAACUCCUACAUUGGGGGUGAAUCAAGUGCCUGGAAUAGACUACAAUCAUCCGUUAUUUCUGUCUCCUUCAGAUGUCAGUGGAAUUCAAAUCAUAUCAUUUCAAUUGACAGGAGCAGAAUGCAAGUUCCUCUUGGGGCACCCAAAACUUUGUCUCUGCACUUGGUGGUAGAGCACCAUCUUCCAGUUAUCAUCAUGGAGUGAGUCAUUCAGGGUUGAAAGAUGAAAGGUUGGAAGUUGGGAAAUCAUUUCCUAGAGAUGGUAAUUUUUCUGUUGGCAGGCAGAAUUGGGACAUGAAAUUUAAAGAUGCUUUCUGUGCUGCUCAAGCAGUGGCUGAGUCUGCAGAACGUGCAAGCUUAGCUGCCAGAGCUGUUGUAGAACUUUCAAGGCAAUAGUAUGUUGAUGAUAGUGGUUCAUGCCACUUAGGUUUCAAGGAUGAACGGUUGGAACCUGGGCAAUCAUUUCUUGGAGAUGGUAAUGGUAAUUUUUCUGUUGGCAGGAGAAUUGGAACAUGAAAUUUAAGGAUGCUACCUGUGCUGCUCAAGCAGCGGUUGAGUUUGCAGAACAUGCGAUCCUAGCUGCUAGAGCUGUUGUACAACUUUCAAGGGUUACAAGGCAAUUUUCCUCAGACUCUCAAGGUCAUAUUCCUAGUGAAGCUGUUAAUAAGAACUCUCAUGAUUCUGCCUCCGUUGCUCUUGAUGAUUCUAGCUCAGAAGAUAAUGGGAGGGAAAAGUAGAGCUGAAUAACCUGGUAUAUUUGGUUCUAAUUCUUAGGAAGAAUGUCUCCAUCGGACACAAGCCAUGAAUCAAUUGUUGGUGAAGAAGAUAUAAUUAGCAACUUGCCAAGGUAUGUAAUAAAUUGCAUUCUAGGAAAAAUUCCUAUCGUGAAGCUAUAAGGCGAGUAUUCUGUCAAAGAAGUGGAGAUUUUACUACUUAACCAUUCCACAAUUAGUAUUUGAUUACCAGUUUUGUGGAAAAGUUUAUGACUAUGUCACCAAGAAAAAUCGUUGUAGAUCUUCUAAGUCUGAGCUCAGGUACCGAUUCAAUGAAAUUGUCACCAAGUCUCUUAUGCUUCAUCCUGUUGGAAUAGAUAAAUUAAAAGUGUGCAUUCCUAAUUUAAAGUCAACAAAGGUUCCUGAUGGUGGUUUAGCUGUGGUUCAUGGUGUGAACAUAUGGAUACUAUAUUUAUCUCAGAGAAACAUCAAUAAUUAACCUUAAUAUGCGAUAAUGAUUUAAAUUAUCGUCAUAAGUUACCUCCUUAUUUCUUUCUUGUCUAGACUUGGCAUUUUUGAAGCUCUAGAAUUUUGUUCUUUCGCCACCGCUAGAGUUUAAAGGGUUUCUAAAUCUCUACCAAUUAAUACUUACUCGGGUUGACUUUGUCAAUAACUGUUUUGAAAGUUUUCUUUCUAGCUACCCUCUUCUUCAAAGGCUAAGCUUGCGCCAUUGCUCUGGUAUUCAUCAUUUUAAUAUCAACCGUAUUAAUCUUAAGAGGUUGUCCGUCGAUGCUGAUGAUAAGAUAAAAUCAAUCUCCUUAGAGAAGGCUCCUAACUUGUCUGAAGUUUGUAUUUAUCUGGAGAGAGUUGUAAGAGGCAAUCAUGUCUCCGAUUUGGCU